UGCUCUGUGGGAUCAGUGGCGAACGGGUGAGUAACACGUGAGCAACCUGCCCCUGACUCUGGGAUAAGCGCUGGAAACGGCGUCUAAUACUGGAUAUGUGACGUGACCGCAUGGUCUGCGUCUGGAAAGAAUUUCGGUUGGGGAUGGGCUCGCGGCCUAUCAGCUUGUUGGUGAGGUAAUGGCUCACCAAGGCGUCGACGGGUAGCCGGCCUGAGAGGGUGACCGGCCACACUGGGACUGAGACACGGCCCAGACUCCUACGGGAGGCAGCAGUGGGGAAUAUUGCACAAUGGGCGCAAGCCUGAUGCAGCAACGCCGCGUGAGGGACGACGGCCUUCGGGUUGUAAACCUCUUUUAGCAGGGAAGAAGCGAAAGUGACGGUACCUGCAGAAAAAGCGCCGGCUAACUACGUGCCAGCAGCCGCGGUAAUACGUAGGGCGCAAGCGUUAUCCGGAAUUAUUGGGCGUAAAGAGCUCGUAGGCGGUUUGUCGCGUCUGCUGUGAAAUCCGGAGGCUCAACCUCCGGCCUGCAGUGGGUACGGGCAGACUAGAGUGCGGUAGGGGAGAUUGGAAUUCCUGGUGUAGCGGUGGAAUGCGCAGAUAUCAGGAGGAACACCGAUGGCGAAGGCAGAUCUCUGGGCCGUAACUGACGCUGAGGAGCGAAAGGGUGGGGAGCAAACAGGCUUAGAUACCCUGGUAGUC
rnacentral:rRNA from 1 species